UACGUAGGGGGCGAGCGUUGUCCGGAGUUACUGGGCGUAAAGAGUGUGUAGGCGGUGCUCUAAGUUCGGUGUGAAAUCUCCCGGCUCAACUGGGAGGGUGCGCCGGAAACUGGGGGUGCUGGAGCGCGGGAGAGGAAAGGCGGAAUUCCUGGUGUAGCGGUGAAAUGCGUAGAUAUCAGGAGGAACACCGAUGGCGAAGGCAGGUCUCUGGGCCAUUACUGACACUGGAGAAG
rnacentral:rRNA from 1 species